CGAAAGUAAUACCGAAUCACUGACCGGUCCCACUUCACAGUUCGUUCAUCAAGGGAUAUGUUUGGGUCUCCAUCGACAGGACAAGUUGCCUGCUUCAUGAAGACCUUCCUUGAUAAUGUGCGACAUGGGCGAUUGCCGUACGUGUGAUCAUCGAUGCCUCCAUCUCCCUGCAAAGUUUGCGUCAUCAGACAUUGCAGCACAUCAUACCUACGACAGACGGUGGUGCCUGCCGU